CCUACGGGGGGCAGCAGUGGGGAAUAUUGCACAAUGGGCGCAAGCCUGAUGCAGCGACGCCGCGUGAGCGAUGAAGGCCUUCGGGUCGUAAAGCUCUGUCCUAAGGGAAGAAUAUUGACGGUACCUUAGGAGGAAGCCCCGGCUAACUACGUGCCAGCAGCCGCGGUAAUACGUAGGGGGCUAGCGUUAUCCGGAAUUACUGGGCGUAAAGGGUGCGUAAGCGGCCCUUUAAGUCAGAGGUGAAAGGCUACGGCUCAACCGUAGUAAGCCUUUGAAACUGUAGGGCUUGAGUGCAGUAGAGGGGAGUGGAAUUCCCAGUGUAGCGGUUAAAUGCGUAGAUAUUGGGAGGAACACCAGUUGCGAAGGCGGCUCUCUGGACUGUAACUGACGCUAAGGCACGAAAGCGUGGAGAGCAAACAGGAUUAGAUACCCUAGUAGUC
rnacentral:rRNA from 1 species